rnacentral:rRNA from 1 species
CCUACGGGUGGCUGCAGUGAGGAAUAUUGGUCAAUGGGCGGGAGCCUGAACCAGCCAAGUCGCGUGAGGGAAGACGGUCCUAUGGAUUGUAAACCUCUUUAGGCGGGGAGCAAUGCCGGGCACGCGUGCCCGGAGGGAGAGUACCCGCAGAAUAAGCAUCGGCUAACUCCGUGCCAGCAGCCGCGGUAAUACGGAGGAUGCGAGCGUUAUCCGGAUUUAUUGGGUUUAAAGGGAGCGUAGGCCGCAUGUCAAGCGUGCUGUGAAAUGUCCGGGCUCAACCCGGGCCUUGCAGCGCGAACUGGCGUGCUUGAGUCCGCGGAAAGCAGGCGGAAUUCGUCGUGUAGCGGUGAAAUGCUUAGAUAUGACGAAGAACCCCGAUUGCGAAGGCAGCUUGCUGCAGCGGAACUGACGCUGAUGCUCGAAAGCGCGGGUAUCGAACAGGAUUAGAUACCCUGGUAGUC